GGAGGGGGCAAGCGUUAUUCGGAUUUACUGGGCGUAAAGCGCACGUAGGUGGCAUGGUAAGUCAAAGGUGAAAGCCCUCGGCUCAACCGAGGAAUUGCCUUUGAAACUGCUUUGCUUGAGUCCGGGAGGGGGGAGCGGAAUUCCCAGUGUAGCGGUGAAAUGCGUAGAUACUGGGAGGAACACCGGUGGCGAAGGCGGCUCCCUGGACCGGUACUGACACUGAGGUGCGAAAGCGUGGGUAGCAAACAGGAUUAGAUACCCUGGGUAGUCCACGCCGUAAACGAUGGGCACUAGGUGCAGCGGGUGUCGACCCCCCUGCUGUGCCGUAGCUAACGCAUUAAGUGCCCCGCCUGGGGAGUACGGUCGCAAGGCUG
rnacentral:rRNA from 1 species